rnacentral:rRNA from 1 species
UACAGAGGUCUCAAGCGUUGUUCGGAUUCAUUGGGCGUAAAGGGUGCGUAGGCGGCGCGAUAAGUCGGGUGUGAAAUCUUGGAGCUUAACUCCGAAACUGCAUUCGAUACUGCCGUGCUUGAGGACUGGAGAGGAGACUGGAAUUUACGGUGUAGCGGUGAAAUGCGUAGAUAUCGUAAGGAAGACCAGUGGCGAAGGCGGGUCUCUGGACAGUUCCUGACGCUGAGGCACGAAGGCCAGGGGGAGCAAAACGGG